CUACGGGGGGCUCCAGUGAGGAAUAUUGCACAAUGGGGGGAACCCUGAUGCAGCAACGCCGCGUGGAGGAUGACGCAUUUCGGUGUGUAAACUCCUUUUAUAUGUCAAGAAAAUGACGGUAGCAUAUGAAUAAGCGCCGGCUAACUCCGUGCCAGCAGCCGCGGUAAUACGGAGGGCGCAAGCGUUACUCGGAAUCACUGGGCGUAAAGGACGCGUAGGCGGGUUGAAAAGUCAGGUGUGAAAGCCUACAGCUUAACUGUAGAACUGCACUUGAAACUCUCAAUCUAGAGUAUGGGAGGGGCAGAUGGAAUGAGUGGUGUAGGGGUAAAAUCCGUAGAUAUCACUAGGAAUACCUAAAGCGAAGGCGAUCUGCUGGAACAUUACUGACGCUAAGGCGUGAAAGCGUGGGGAGCAAACAGGAUUAGAUACCCGUGUAGUC
rnacentral:rRNA from 1 species